rnacentral:rRNA from 1 species
UGAACGCUGGCGGCAUGCCUAAGACAUGCAAGUCGAACGCUGAAGCUCUAGCUUGCUAGAGUGGAUGAGUGGCGAACGGGUGAGUAACAGGUAGGUAACCUACCCUAAAGACGGGGAUAACAUCUGGAAACGGAUGCUAAUACCGGAUAGGAUAACAUCUCGCAUGGGAAGUUAUUUAAAGGUGCGUAUGCAUCACUAUAGGAGGGACCUGCUUCGUAUUAGCUAGUUGGUAAGGUAACGGCUUACCAAGGCAACGAUGCGUAGCCGAGCUGAGAGGCUGAUCGGCCACACUGGGACUGAGACACGGCCCAGACUCCUACGGGAGGCAGCAGUUAGGAAUAUUCGGCAAUGGGGGCAACCCUGACCGAGCAAUGCCGCGUGAACGAAGAAGUAUUUCGAUAUGUAAAGUUCUGUUGUCGAGGAAGAAAGGUAGUGAUAGGAAAUGAUCAUUAUUUGACGGUAUUCGACCAGAAAGGUCCGGCUAACUACGUG